rnacentral:rRNA from 1 species
UACAGAGGGGGCGAGCGUUGUUUGGAAUCACUGGGUGUAAAGGGUGCGUAGGCGGUCGGUUAAGUCGGGUGUGAAAGCCCCGGGCUCAACCUGGGAAUUGCAUUCGAGACUGAAUAGCUAGGGUACGGUAGAGGGAAGCGGAAUUUCCGGUGUAGCGGUGAAAUGCGUAGGUAUCGGAAGGAACAUCAGUGGCGAAAGCGGCUUCCUGGACCAGUACCGACGUUCAGGCACGAAAGCGUGGGGAGCAAACAGG